rnacentral:rRNA from 1 species
GAUGAACGCUGGCGGCGUGCCUAAUACAUGCAAGUCGAGCGAACGGACGAGACGCUUGCUUUUCUGAUGUUAGCGGCGGACGGGUGAGUAACACGUGGAUAACCUACCUAUAAGACUUGGAUAACUUCGGGAAACCGGAGCUAAUACCGGAUAAUAUUUUGAACCGCAUGGUUCAAAAGUGAAAGACGGUCUUGCUGUCACUUAUAGAUGGAUCCGAGCUGCAUUAGCUAGUUGGUAAGGUAACGGCUUACCAAGGCAACGAUGCAUAGCCGACCUGAGAGGGGGGUAGGCCACACUGGAACGGGGCCACGGUCCAUACGACUAAGGGAGGCAGCAGUAGGGUAUCUUCCGCAAUGGGCGAAAGCCUUACGGAGCAACGGCGAGUGAGUGAUGAAGGUCUUCGGAUAGUAAAAAUCUGUUAUGAGGGAAGAACAUAUGUGUAAGUAACUGUGCACAUCUUGACGGUACCUAAUCAGAAAGCCACGGCUAACUACGUG